rnacentral:lncRNA from 1 species
GUAGAUAUGUAUAGGAGACAGGGAUACUGGAGUGAUGGAGGUAGAUAUAUGUAUAGGGGGAAGGGGACAGGGAUACUGGAGUGAUGGAGGUAGAUAUGUAUAGGGGACAGGGAUACUGGAGUGAUGGAGGUAGAUAUGUAUAGGGGACAGGGAUACUGGAGUGAUGGAGGUAGAUACAGUGGGCUCCAAAAUUACUGGCAAUGCACAAACAAUAUUUCAAAAUAUAUAUAAACAAUAUAAUUAUAGAGAUAAACUCAAAAUACCAACAUGUGAAAAAUACCGUACUUCAUUAAUGUUUCAAUGGAAC